GAUGAACGCUGGCGGCGUGCCUAAUACAUGCAAGUCGAGCGAACAGACGAGGAGCUUGCUCCUCUGACGUUAGCGGCGGACGGGUGAGUAACACGUGGAUAACCUACCUAUAAGACUGGGAUAACUUCGGGAAACCGUAGCUAAUACCGGAUAAUAUAUUGAACCGCAUGGUUCAAUAGUUAAAGACGGUUUUGCUGUCACUUAUAGAUGGAUCCGCGCCGCAUUAGCUAGUUGGUAAGGUAACGGCUUACCAAGGCAACGAUGCGUAGCCGACCUGAGAGGGUGAUCGGCCACACUGGAACUGAGACACGGUCCAGACUCCUACGGGAGGCAGCAGUAGGGAAUCUUCCGCAAUGGGCGAAAGCCUGACGGAGCAACGCCGCGUGAGUGAUGAAGGUCUUCGGAUCGUAAAACUCUGUUAUUAGGGAAGAACAAAUGUGUAAGUAACUAUGCACGUCUUGACGGUACCUAAUCAGAAAGCCACGGCUAACUACGUG
rnacentral:rRNA from 1 species